GGGCAAGUACCAGCACCUCAGCCUAGUCGGUGCAGGUGAUAGUUACGAAGCUAAGUCCUAGGCCAGGAACAAGGCAGCCAGUCCAGCCAGCAUAGUUGACCCCUCUAUGGACUGGGGCCAGUGCAGCCACAGCAUUCCAGUGCUCAGCCCCUCAGCUGGGAGAUCAGCGACUGCUGCCACGUGCCCAGAAAUGGCUCGUCCUUUCACUACAGCGGAAUGCAAUGAGGGUGGGUGAGAAGAUGAUGGGUCGGUUAUUUCAUUCCUUUUCUUUUUACAACUUCACUUUCAGAGACUUCAGAGUUCCAUGUCUGCUGUGCUGUGGAACCCAGAGUGCUCUUGCCUGGAUGGCUGAGAAUCCCUUGGACCCUGGAAGCACCUACUCCAUGAUGGCCCGCAGGAGGACCAAACUGGAGACAGUCCUGGCUCUGAGAAACAGGAAGGAAGGAGGGUGAAAGGAAGGUCCACCUGCACACAAAGGUAACUGUCCUCUACUCAGGGUAUAGUGAACCAGAACAAAGUAACUGUUUUAGAGAGCAAGGCAGCUCUCUGGGCUGAAAAAUGUUAACAGUUAAAGACCUUGCUAAGUCAAAGUCUGCCCCUAUCUCUGCCCUCUCCUGCUUCUAGGUGACCAAAAAAAAAAAAAAAAAAAU
rnacentral:antisense_RNA from 1 species